AAUACAUGCAAGUCGAGCGAACGGACGAGAAGCUUGCUUCUCUGAUGUUAGCGGCGGACGGGUGAGUAACACGUGGAUAACCUACCUAUAAGACUGGGAUAACUUCGGGAAACCGGAGCUAAUACCGGAUAAUAUUUUGAACCGCAUGGUUCAAAAGUGAAAGACGGUCUUGCUGUCACUUAUAGAUGGAUCCGCGCUGCAUUAGCUAGUUGGUAAGGUAACGGCUUACCAAGGCAACGAUGCAUAGCCGACCUGAGAGGGUGAUCGGCCACACUGGGACUGAGACACGGCCCAGACUCCUACGGGAGGCAGCAGUAGGGAAUCUUCGGCAAUGGGGGCAACCCUGACCGAGCAACGCCGCGUGAGUGAAGAAGGUUUUCGGAUCGUAAAGCUCUGUUGUUAGAGAAGAAUGAUGGUGGGAGUGGAAAAUCCACCAAGUGACGGUAACUAACCAGAAAGGGACGGCUAACUACGUGCCAGCAGCCGCGGUAAUACGUAGGUCCCGAGCGUUGUCCGGAUUUAUUGGGCGUAAAGCGAGCGCAGGCGGUUUUUUAAGUCUGAAGUUAAAGGCAUUGGCUCAACCAAUGUACGCUUUGGAAACUGGAGAACUUGAGUGCAGAAGGGGAGAGUGGAAUUCCAUGUGUAGCGGUGAAAUGCGUAGAUAUAUGGAGGAACACCGGUGGCGAAAGCGGCUCUCUGGUCUGUAACUGACGCUGAGGCUCGAAAGCGUGGGGAGCAAACAGGAUUAGA
rnacentral:rRNA from 1 species